rnacentral:snRNA from 1 species
AUACUUACAUUGUGCCAGGGCAUCGUUGAUCACCGAGGACGAGCCCCCAGGGUGAGGCGCGGGCAUUGCACUGCGCUUGCGCUGACCCCUACCGCUACUUCAAACUGGGGCAGGUUGGGCACGGAAAUUUCUUAAAUCCUGUUCAGC